UAUAAUUGUCUUUUCUAGAAAACGGGGGAGAAUUCUGCCCAAGGCUUGUUUGACUAACUUCUUGAGGGCAAACAUCCUGCAGGUGCAGGGGCUCCGUUUCUGGCUGAAACGGUGUAAAUCCCAUGUUUUCCUCUUCGUCUGCCACAAUGGUACUAGGAACGGGACUACAAGGCCCAUGAGACAUCACACUGAGAGAGCACGACUUGCCCAAGUUCAUUGGUGGGUUUUCAUGCUGAGCAGGGAUUGGGACCCUGAUCUUCUAGAGUCCUUGUCAAUCCAACCACUUUAUCAGGUUUGCAAAGUGCUGCCUCUCAGCCACAUGUGAUUCUCAAGUCUCACUUUUGUGGCUCCAGAAGUCUUCCAAUUUUGAAUGCUCCCAAAUGCUUUUUAAAAAUUAAGCUGCUGUUUCCUUACCUCGCCUUAAACAUAGAACAAGAAUACAUUAAAAAGGAACAAAUGGCUGACUUUUCAUGACACUCCAAAACAGCAGCCUACUCAACCUAAUGGUACGGUCAACUCUGAAUCACUAGUGGCUUUUGGUGUCUCAUCUUUAUGUUGCUAAGUAAUACCUCCCACUGAAAGGACGGUAAGAAAUUUAUAUGUAGUAGUCAACCUUCAGUAGAGUAUGUGACUCACUGGGAUUGCAGAAACAGCCAUAGUGCAGUCCCCAUUUCAUGGGGAGAUAAUGAACCGGCACCUUGGCAGAUAACAGAAUCCAGUCUCAUCUGCACAGGCAUGAAACCCAGACUCAUCCUGAGUUGGCUUGGUUGUCUUCACAGUGUUCUUCCACUUUUGAUCCUACUAUUCAACUGCUUGAUGGUGGUAACCUCUCUUACAUGUCUAUCAGAACAGUUAAUCCACUUUGGUUUAAAGACAGGACUUUAUAUCCAAGGUGCCUAACUUGACUGGCUUUUGGCAUGAACUUUAAAGAAGACAGUCUGUUACCUGUUUUAGGGUUUUGUUUCAGCACUCUGGAUAGCUCCUCUAAAGCUUGGAAUAGACCUGAAACAGAUGCCACUCCUAUCUGAUUGUGUUUGUUUCUUCUAAGGGUUCAUGACACCAUCCUAGCAUCAAAUCAUGGUCUCUUUACAUCUAGAAAGAAAUUAUUUAUAGAGUCAUUUCAGCCUAGUUUUCAUGAAAGAGUCGUUCCUGGAACCAACUCUAUGCAACAGAUUGGUUAGUUAAUGGCUUGAAUGAAGAAGAGCCAUUAACUUGAAUGAAGAAGAGCCAUUCUUAUCUGUGUUGCAGAUGACAACAGAUGGUUGAAGAUUAUGGAACAGGAUGAAAGACUGGAACUUUAAAGGGAGCCGAUUCAUCACAUCAUUGGAAUGAAAAUGACAACAUGAAUUCAAGGUGGGAAGAAUAUAGACCAUUCAAUGGUCUAUAAAGAGAUGCUAUACAGCAAGAUGAAUGAGUCUUUUAUGAGGAGUUUGCUGUGUCGGGAACAAAAAUAAAUGCUUGCACAAGCAGCCUUGAUUAUGUUGACAUCUGAGUCAGUCCAAACCUUCAUCACCCAUCGACCCCUCCAUGCAGCUGCUUUCAGCUUCCUCAAGGAACGACAUAUGUUUUUAUUGACUGCCGCUCCGUCAAGCCAGGAAAUGAUAAUACGGCAACAUGACAUGGUUGGAGUCAAGCAAAUAAGGCUGGUUUGAAAAUGUUUUAUACCUCGUUGCUAAAGGAGAUGGAGUGUGUACAGAUGUUUACUCAGGAUGUUUAGAAUAUCUGCUUGACUUGAGGAUGGUGUCUUGAGGACUAGCAGCCAUGUUUGGACAUGGGAAUCACAGAAUGUUCUUGGCUAAGUAACCACUGGCGAAUACCAGGACUGUGUUACAUAGUCUCUGGGUUCUCUUCCAGGCCCAAAACUUGUGUAUGAAAUACCCCCCAAAACCCCUUCAUACUAGGAGCUAUUUAUUACUCUUUUGCUUUCAUUUAGAACUAAUCUUCAACUGCUUCUGCCUCAUGACCAUUGAUUUCUCUAUUUCACUCCCCUUCCCAAAAGAUCUUAGCCAAUCACAAACUAAGAUUUUAUGAUAGUGGACAGAUUAUAUGAUAAUUGAGACUCAUAUAGUCCAUUUCAACCUGGGACCAGAUCCUGGGAUAUAAGAACAGUGUAUAAGGGGUCUAAGUGCUGCUUAGCACAGUAGCAUCUAAACACUACAUAAAGAACUAGAUCAUCUGCUGAUGUUAUCAAAGGCAACAAAACCUAUGUUGUGAAUGAGUAUUCUGAGGCUGUGAGUGAUAAUGGUAGGAUCAGGAGGGGAAGGAAGAAUCCUCGCCAGGAGGGCUCGUUGGAAGAUUUACAUAGGAAGAGAGUCAGGGAGAUAGAUGAGGAAUCCUCAGAUGAGGAUUCAUUUGGGGAGUUGAAAGGGAAUCCUGAGGUGGAAAUGACUGUUGAGGACCUGGUGGUGGCGGAAGGGGUUGGCAUUGACUGGGCACGGGCUCCGGAGGAUCUUGGGGAGGAAACUGGGCUCAUGGAUGCUGAGGACGCAGGAGAAGUUUGGGGUUCUUCAGAAGCAGACCCCACAUGGUCUGCCUGGAGGAAUGAGGGUGAUUCCUCAGGUGUGGACAGGGUUGGGCGUAGACAGAGUGAUUUUGACUCUGAUGAGGAACUUGGGACGCCUGAUCCUAAGGCGUUGGCUGUUUGGAGCUCGGAUUCUGAUGAGGAGCUUGGGACACCUGAUCCUAAGGCGUUGGUUGUUUGGACGCCCAAGGAAACCUAAAUAAAUUGGGUUUUUUUUGGCCAUUGUUCCUUGCGUGUGGCAAGGUGUUGUUGGGCGCCAUUGGGUUUCCUGUAUUUGACUCCGAAGACUGGCUUGGGACUUUGCAACCGAUGUAAGUUUGAUCUGGGUUAUUCUACGACGGAGGGCUGGAACUGAGUGGGUUUUCUGUUUGGACUGCAUUGUUAUUACUAUUUUGCAUUAGCUGCUGCUCGCCUCCGUUGUCUUGGCUCUUUGUGUUAUCCCGCAACGUGGACCUCGCUGUGACGACUUCACCCUUUGGACCUUGGACCGGAACUCGACUUGGCAUAUCUCUUCGCUCUUAAACUCAGCUUGGCAUCAUUCCCGUGUUCGUGGCUGACUUCUAUUG